rnacentral:rRNA from 1 species
CGGCCGCGUCGACGUGCUGCAUGGUUGUCGUCAGCUCGUGCCGUGAGGUGUCGGCUUAAGUGCCAUAACGAGCGCAACCCCUGCUGCCAGUUACUAACAGGUGAUGCUGAGGACUCUGGCGGGACUGCCAUCGUAAGAUGUGAGGAGGGUGGGGAUGACGUCAAAUCAGCACGGCCCUUACGUCCGGGGCUACACACGUGUUACAAUGGGGGGUACAGAAGGCCGCUACCUGGCGACAGGAUGCCAAUCCUCAAAACCUCUCUCAGUUCGGACUGGAGUCUGCAACCCGACUCCACGAAGCUGGAUUCGCUAGUAAUCGCGCAUCAGCCACGGCGCGGUGAAUACGUUCCCGGGCCUUGUACACACCGCCCGUCAAGCCAUGGUCGACGCGGCCG